CCUCAAAUGCUUUAAAGACCCAAUCCUUUCCAGCGGUACCUCUAAUUGGGAUUCUGACAAGUCCAACAUCCGCAAAUAUUUUAAUCUUGACAAACAUAAAUCCAAGGCUGAUUGACUGAUUUCCUCACUCAUAAAUAGAGCAGUUCGCUUCGCACAUGCUCUAAAUCUUGUAAGAGAGUGGAAACACCACGGGGAAGUGAAGUGAAGUCGGGAA
rnacentral:misc_RNA from 1 species